rnacentral:rRNA from 1 species
GAUGAACGCUGGCGGCGUGCCUAAUACAUGCAAGUCGAGCGAACGGACGAGAAGCUUGCUUCUCUGAUGUUAGCGGCGGACGGGUGAGUAACACGUGGAUAACCUACCUAUAAGACUGGGAUAACUUCGGGAAACCGUAGCUAAUACCGGAUAAUAUUUUGAACAGCAUGGUUCAAAAGUGAAAGACGGUCUUGCUGUCACUUAUAGAUGGAUCCGCGCUGCAUUAGCUAGUUGGUAAGGUAACGGCUUACCAAGGCAACGAUGCAUAGCCGACCUGAGAGGGUGAUCGGCCACACUGGAACUGAGACACGGUCCAGACUCCUACGGGAGGCAGCAGUAGGGAAUCUUCCGCAAAGGGCGAAAGCCUGUCGGAGCAACGCCGCGUGAGUGAUGAAGGUCUUCGGAUCGUAAAACUCUGUUAUUAGGGAAGAACAUAUGUGUAAGUAACUGUGCACAUCUUGACGGUACCUAAUCAGAAAGCCACGGCUAACUACGUG